GUGGCAAUGGCGUAACCUGGUAGCGUAGAGGCUUGUGGAGCCUUUGGUCCGAGUUCAAAUCUCGGUUGCCACA
rnacentral:tRNA from 1 species